GGUGACGUUAUGAUGCUUGUAUCCCCAUUCAUGUGUUCUGUUAAUAUUGGAUAUUAUGUUCUGUACCUUUAAGACCGGCUCUGAAGAGGGAAAGUUUUGUUUUGGUUUUCUUAUCAGCCUGGCGGGACACGGAGACUGCGGCUUUUGCUUUUGCUGCUUUUGCUUUUUGCUUUUGCUCUCUCGCUCUUGCUCGCUUUGCUUCUGCUUGCUUUUGCUCUUUAGCUAAUUCAGCUAAACUGUCCAAUUUCUUCCUGGACGGUUUCUCCUUUCCUUUUUCUGAUCACUUCGAACCUGCUCCGGACUGGGACCUGAGAAACACCAAGAUCCUGCACCUUCUGGCCUGCAGCAGCAGCCCCAGCGCCGGAGGGACUGAGACCAGAGUGACCACCCCCAGAGAGACUUUCUGAAUUUGUCAUCUUUUUUCAGAGUGGUGUCAUCCGCCUGGCGGGACACGGAGACUGCGGCUUUUGCUUUUGCUGCUUUUGCUUUUUGCUUUUGCUCUCUCGCUCUUGCUCGCUUUGCUUCUGCUUGCUUUUGCUCUUUAGCUAAUUCAGCUAAACUGUCCAAUUUCUUCCUGGACGGUUUCUCCUUUCCUUUUUCUGAUCACUUCGAACCUGCUCCGGACUGGGACCUGAGAAACACCAAGAUCCUGCACCUUCUGGCCUGCAGCAGCAGCCCCAGCGCCGGAGGGACUGAGACCAGAGUGACCACCCCCAGAGAGACUUUCUGAAUUUGUCAUCUUUUUUCAGAGUGGUGUCAUCCGGUAUUGUUCAUUUUGUGUGCUGGGGGGUGCUGUGCUUGUUAAAUAAACAGGUUCUUUCCACUCC